rnacentral:rRNA from 1 species
GGAAUAUUGGACAAUGGGGGCAACCCUGAUCCAGCCAUGCCGCGUGUGUGAAGAAGGCUUUCGGGUUGUAAAGCACUUUCAGUAGGGAAGAAAAGCGAAGCGCUAAUACCGCUUUGUGCUGACGUUACCUACAGAAGAAGCCCCGGCUAACUCCGUGCCAGCCGCCGCGGUAAUACGGAGGGUGCGAGCGUUAAUCGGAAUUACUGGGCGUAAAGGGCGCGUAGGCGGCCAGAUAAGUCGGAUGUGAAAGCCCCGGGCUUAACUUGGGAAUUGCAUUCGAUACUGUGUGGCUGGAGUAUGGCAGAGGGAAGCGGAAUUCCGGGUGUAGCGGUGAAAUGCGUAGAUAUCCGGAGGAACAUCAGUGGCGAAGGCGGCUUCCUGGGUUAAUACUGACACUGAGGCGCGAAAGCGUGGGGAGCAAAC